GGGGCGGAGAGCAAGCGCCCGUCUAAAGGAGCCUGUUUUCUGUUUUAAAACAGCCAGAGGCGACAAUGUUUGCUGCACACGCUUUGCCCCAAACGGUUGCCAGGUGUGGGAUGAGGAGACGGCAGGAGCCGCCGUGUUCGUGGUGACCGUGCUUUCCGUCGCCUCGUGCAGGGCCAGACGCCUGGACCCGAAGUAAAACCCCCAACACAUGGAAGAUGUUAACGAAGCAUUUUUUUAUUCUGGAAAGAAGACCACCAGACCACUGAGCACCAGCUUUGAAAACAACAUAAGCUUCCUCUGCCCUGGUCCUUAUCUGUGGCCGUUUUUUUCACUCCUCAAACUAUAAAACCACCUCCCAAGCUCCCCUAAGGGGGGCACCGUCUUUGAGGCAUUAGCCUGCGGUGACCCUCCUUUGCCUGGCAAAGCAAUAAAGCUAUUUUCUUCUCUUUUGCCCAACACUCCGUCUCCAUGUCUCUAUUUGGCACUGGUGGGCAGAGGCCGCAUCCUGGCAACAGUCUCUUUCAAGAAAAGGUUCAAAUCUAGAAGUGAAGAGAGCCAUGAAAAAAUUGUUCUCGUACAGUUUUUAAAGGUCAUUUUGAAAACAUGUUUCAUUUUCUGCCUCAGUGCAGACGCGGGCUUUUCUCUACUCAGUAAGAUCUUUGGCUUAGUUUUAUCAUCGCCAGAAAUAGGAUCUGCGUUCAGGAAAAAUGAAGAUCUGCUGACCCCCAGUUUGUUGUGACGGAGUGAACUCAAAUCUUCAACAGGAACGCAAAUAAAAUGAAUGUUAUUAAUGAAAAACGAGCCUAAAGAGAAUACGUAUGUUUUAUUUCAUAUUUGAGUUGAAAAGAUGACACAUAUCAUAUCAGACAUUCAUUAAGAUCCAGAAAUUUAUUUUAUUGAGCUAUAUUUUAAAUUAUCCUCUUGUCCGCUCCUGAGGGAUCUAGUGUAAGAAACUUUUAUUUCUUUUUGUUUCCAUCACUCUGAGAUCUAUCCUGUGUUAAAACACAGUACGUUGCUAAGAGCAACCUGUGGUCUUGACUUGAGCCAUCCCGGCUUUGCUCUCUCAUUGAAGUUGAAUGCAAUUCUACGGCUCAAUAUGAAUCAGAUGGGAUCUAAAAGUAGACCUGAAACUUCUCCAGAUGGUCAUGUGGAGCUCAGUGGGUGUAGUCCAUCGAGUCUCAAGAUUCUUCCGCACGACUUGUAUCUUCUGGAGAAACUACGUAUCAAAAACCUCAUGAAAAAUAAAAUAUUACCUGCCAUAUCAGUAAACAAGAAUGUCAGUGAUUUCAGCCACCUCAGACAGUGAGCAGAGCUGGUGAGCCCUGAGGGAACUCAGAAAGGAGACAAUACCUGCCAUCUAGCAGCCAUCAGACUCUAGCCACUCCGGAGGGUGAGCCCUGAGGAAAACUCAGGACGCAAGAACACAGGAUACUGGCCCUAGACAGCUGAGGUGCCUAUCAAAGGAACAAUUGCAGGGAGCCCAGCCUUUGCAUCUUCCUACACUAGAAAAGCUCUAAAAUCCUUGAGCUACCUGCCUUCUUUGAAUAGCAGUAAUCUUUUGCUCUUACUACUUGCCCUUGGUUGCAAAAUUCCUAUACAUCCUAGCUCCCCACUCAUUCAUAUGAGCAGGUUUUCUCAGGGUUACUUGAGAUGCUGCCUCUUGGGCUUAAGUCCUCAUCUCUCCCAGAAUAAAACUUAACGCUCAACUUUUAGGUUACACAUGUAUUUUUUUUUUUUAGUUGACACUCUCAAUGAGCUAUGUAUGUGUUAUUUGUGACAUAAAUUAUAACACAAUAAUAAUAAAUUAUAAGUUAAAUUCGAAGUGAAGAAUAACUGUUCAGUCAAGUUUAUUCAUUUAGAACGUAGCAUAUUUGGCAUUAAGCUAAAAUGCUAUUGAUAAAUAAAUAAAUAUCAUUAAUAUUUUCAUGGGAUAUUUGUUCCAGAAUUCCAGACGGAUGUUUAAUGGACUUAUACACUAAGAUAUGAACUCCUAUAUUGUGAGAAUUAGGAAGGUUCUCUGAUAAUGCAAAUGAGAGGUCUUUUGGCUGAUUUGAGGUCAAGCCUCUAACUAUCACUUAACUAGUUGAUUAACAAACAAUGUGAAUUAUCCCUUGAUUAAUAACGCACUAUGCUAGCUGUACCCCUAAUUCCACUAGUAUUGAUAACAUUGAAUACAUAAAAUAGCCCAGGUAGAUGUGAUAAAGGAUUGACUGAAGGAAAUCCAAUCCUUGCAUUCAUCUUUAUAAUUGCAAAUUUAUACUUAAAUGGGAAGAAUAACAGAGCACUUUAGACCAGAACCACAAUGAUGUCAACAUCGCAUCCUUAUAAAAUUGUCUUUGCUGAAUCUUCAUUUCUUGUUAUGCAGGACACUAUAUGAAACAACAAGAAAAGUCAAUUGUUUUUAUUACAGAAAAUGCCGUAAGUUAUGACAAUGGGCUGUAUUGGUUAGGUCUUAUGAAAAAUAAAUUCUCCCAACUCAGCAUCAUAUACAGGACACUAUAUGAAACAACAAGAAAAGUCAAUUGUUUUUAUUACAGAAAAUGCCGUAAGUUAUGACAAUGGGCUGUAUUGGUUAGGUGUUAUGAAAAAUAAAUUCUCCCAACUCAGCAUCAUAUGCAGGACACUAUAUGAAACAACAAGAAAAGUCAAUUGUUUUUAUUACAGAAAAUGCCGUAAGUUAUGACAAUGGGCUGUAUUGGUUAGGUCUUAUGAAAAAUAAAUUCUCCCAACUCAGCAUCAGAAACAUUGAGCCUUUCCAGAACAAGUUGUUUUGGUCAAGCUUUUAUAAAACUAAUAAUUCAGAAGUCUCUCCUUUUUUGUAGACAAAAUGGUUGAAGGAAAAUUUGAAUUCACAUUGUAGCAAUUUUUAAGAAGCAUAACAUGAAUUUCUGUUUCUGUAAUCAGACAAUAUUUCCUUUUUCAUAUUUUACUUGGCCUGAUUUUCACUAAUUAUAUAUAUAUUUUUCUUCUUACUUGUAUUUUUCUGCAACCUAUGUCAAUUUAACAGUUAAGUGAGUGGCAAGGUAAAUAAAUAAACAAUAGUAAAGUAAAAAACAGAUUUGAAUUGGCGUUAAGAUGAUAUGGAGAAUUUCCUAAAUAGUUUGAUUGAAGAGAGACAAUGAUUUUAACUAGAUCAAUCCUCCUUAAAAAAAAAAAAAAGAAUAGUCUGGGACAGAAUAAUCAAAGUCUUAAACAUGACCAAAAUUCAUCUUGAAAAUGACCAGGGUCUUUUGGUUAUAACCUUUGAAAAAUUUUAAAGAAUUGUAUAACUAUGAUAUUGGAAAUAUGAAAGAAAAGUUCUGAUAUUUUCAUUCAUAAUGCAUGCAAUAUAUUUUGUUCACUUUGUAAUUAUGAGCAUGUAUCCCCACACAAUAAAAAUUGCAUCGA
rnacentral:lncRNA from 1 species